CAUGAUCUAUCUGUUGCGGACAAAUGAAAUGAAUAUGCGAAUCGAUACCACCGGCAGUUGCAAUGAGGCCUGCGCCGCCAUGCACUUCGGUAGCCGCGCCGAUGACCAGGCUGGCAUCCACGCCAUCCAUGGUAUCGGGGUUGCCUGCUUUGCCAAUGCCCACGAUCUUCCCGUCUUUGAUACCGAUAUCAGCUUUUACUAUACCCCAAUGAUCGAUGAUCAUUACACUGGUGAUCACCAGAUCAGGUACGCCUUCAUUGCGUGUGGCGCGGGCAGAUUGCGCCAUGCCGUCGCGUAUG
rnacentral:sRNA from 1 species